rnacentral:tRNA from 1 species
GCCACCCUAGCUCAACGGCAGAGCAUACGCUUCGUAAGCGUGAGGUUGAGGGUUCAAAUCCCUCGGGUGGCU